AAUAAGAGAAUGAUAGAGAAGAUUUUUCCUCUUGAUUUUCAGCUUUUUCCUCCUGACAAAAUUCAAAUCUAACUAAAACUGCUAAAAAUCAAGAGCAAAAAUCUGAUUUGUCAUCCUCCUAUU
rfam:Gossypium raimondii Chr10_contig_55, whole genome shotgun sequence.